rnacentral:rRNA from 4 species
GACCUGGUAGUCCACGCUGUAAACGAUGUCGACUUGGAGGUUGUUCCCUUGAGGAGUGGCUUCCGGAGCUAACGCGUUAAGUCGACCGCCUGGGGAGUACGGCCGCAAGGUUAAAACUCAAAUGAAUUGACGGGGGCCCGCACAAGCGGUGGAGCAUGUGGUUUAAUUCGAUGCAACGCGAAGAACCUUACCUACUCUUGACAUCCAGAGAACUUAGCAGAGAUGCUUUGGUGCCUUCGGGAACUCUGAGACAGGUGCUGCAUGGCUGUCGUCAGCUCGUGUUGUGAAAUGUUGGGUUAAGUCCCGCAACGAGCGCAACCCUUAUCCUUUGUUGCCAGCGGUUCGGCCGGGAACUCAAAGGAGACUGCCAGUGAUAAACUGGAGGAAGGUGGGGAUGACGUCAAGUCAUCAUGGCCCUUACGAGUAGGGCUACACACGUGCUACAAUGGCAUAUACAAAGAGAAGCGACCUCGCGAGAGCAAGCGGACCUCAUAAAGUAUGUCGUAGUCCGGAUCGGAGUCUGCAACUCGACUCCGUGAAGUCGGAAUCGCUAGUAAUCGUGGAUCAGAAUGCCACGGUGAAUACGUUCCCGGGCCUUGUACACACCGCCCGUCACACCAUGGGAGUGGGUUGCAAAAGAAGUAGGUAGCUUAAC